AUGCCAGAUUUUCAGCAAGAUCCUGAUGCAGGAGUUCUCCAGUGGGAUACGAGCUCCCAGGUGAUGGUGAGGCCAGUGGUUCACUCUGGCAGACACAGGUGCUACUCAGAUCCCCCUUCAAGAAAAUACUCAUUACCCCUUGCUGAAGAAUGUGGCCAGCUGGUAGCCACCAGCAUUAGCUUCAUCAAAGUCCAACUCAACUGUCCAAAUGAAGCUGUAGCACUCCCAGUCAAUGAGGGAGCACGGUAUUGGGACAACGGUCUGGCUAUUUCUAAUCACAGUAAGACUCCAGGCUGCUGAGUCCUUCUUCCAUGGACUCCCACUGGGUUGGCAGAGACUUUGCUGUAUGUACUGUGAAGGUCUCGCUGACCUUCUCAGCCCCUCUCUUUUCCUUGCAUAGGUAUUACUCUUUUUUUCACUCUGAAAUUUAUGUUUGCACUUGCCUUCUGGAGAACCUAGAAGGCACAUCUAUCGCCCAAACUUUGAGUAACAAGGAGCUUACAUCUUGGUUUCCAAACUUUGAAGCAGCCAAAGGCAGUUGUUCCAUCCCUAUUGGACUGAUCUUAUCUCUGAAAUCAGGGAACAGACUAAGAUGAGCUUAAAACAGAGAAAAGCUGUAAUCCCAGCACUUUGGGAGGCCGAGACGGGCGGAUCAUGAGGUCAGGAGAUUGAGACCAUCCUGGCUAACCUGGUGGAACCCCGUCUCUACUAAAAAAAUACAAAAAAACUAGCCGGGCAAGGUGGCGGGCACCUGUAGUCCCAGCUACUUGGGAGGCUGAGGCAGGAGAAUGGCGGGAACCCGGGAGGCGGAGCUUGCAGUGAGCUGAGAUCCGGCCACUGCACUCCAGCCUGGGUGUUAGAGCAAGACUCCGUCUCAAAACAAAACAAAACAAAACAACAACAACAACAACAAAAAAAAAAAAAACAGAGAAAAGGAGGAGACCUGAUUCAUCACUCUUCUUAACUGUCAAGGUUUAUUUGGACCCAGCGCUGACUUAGGUUUCUUCCUGAUUCCUGAAAGCCAACCUCCUCUUUCAUGCCCUUUGCAGGGGAUUCAUAUAAGCAAUGACAGUUUUUUACAAAGAAAAUCUCAUGACAAAAUAAAUAAACAUAAUAGAUUUAUAUAAAGCAGUUUGGGCUAAAGUUGGGGAUGGGCACAGAUCCCAGCCUGCUAUCCACCUCCAAUCGUGAAGUUUGUCUUCAGGGCCUUAGGCUCAGUGUGUACCAUUUGAAAAACAAUUCUUUUCCCAUGUUAGCUCUCAGUAUAAUAGGCUGGAAUAAUUUUUCACAGCUUCCUAAUAGAUACCUUGCUUGAAACUGCUAUUUAAGUCAAAACCUCCAGUUUUCUCUCAGUGAAUUAAAAGGUAAUGCAGUUUUAAUUUUAAGUCCAAUUAUAUCUUGAGAGAUGAAUGGUACAGGGCUAAUCCUUGCUUAGGGCCAAAAGGGACUGAUAAAUCAUUUGCUUACAUGAUCAGAUUGCUUCCAUGCUCCUCUGGGCCACUAAGAAAACAGAAAUGAGUCGUUAACACCAGCCUCUUCGGUGAAAAAUGAAAUGGAAGGGAAAGUCACAGUAGAUGUUUCCUGUAUCAGUCAGGAUAUUUAAGUUACACUGUGGUUAAAUAAAAUGUCAGUAGCUUAUCCCAACACCAGCAUUAUUCUUAUUCAUGUCUCAUGUCAAUCCAGCUCAUUGAGGGAUCCUGCCUCCUGCAGUUGUGCAAGUACCCACUGAUACUCCAAUUUGAUACACACUUGGAGAUUAUGGCCAUGAAGAGAGGUAGAUGUGGUGAAUAUGGUGGAAAGCUUCCAUUGAUAAUUUAUCUAUCAGUCACAUGGAUAAUUUAUCGAUCAGUCACAUGGAUAAGACAAACUUUCAGAGGUAGGGAAGAGCAAUCUAAUACUGUCUUCCCAGAAAGAGAACUGGAAAAAUACAUCAAAUAAAAAUCACCAGUGGUUCCAAUGGCUAUUGCACUGUCUUUCAGUCUCUGAACAUGAUUUUCAAGUAAGGAUGAGGCUGAGAGCAGAAGUAACAUGUAUUACUAAGCAUCAAGUUUGGGUAGGCACUUUGAGAUAUAAAACUCUCAACAACGUUUUGGGAUAGGUAAAAUUUCCUAUUUUACAUUUUCUAUGGCCCAGAGAAGUCCAAGGCUUUUCCUGAGAUGAAAGAGCUAGUGUAUGAAAUCAGGAUACUCAUCCAGAAAUGUCUGACCCUGAAGCCCACAUUUGUUUCACUACUCAGUGCCGCAUACUACAUAUGGAGAUGUUCACCCUUUGAAUAAAUCACAGUCCUUGAGGCUGGAGUGCCAUGAAAUUGAACCUAGAGAGAAAGGGAAAAAGGGAAUAAUCAGGCAGAAUGAAUUUAGAAAUUUUUCCAAAGAAUAGAUCAAUCUAAAGUAGCUUAAGUGUGCAUAUCUGCAACAAUAAUGAACAAUUACUGCAUUUGUUCUAAGUGUCUAAGCUAACAAAAUGUAUUUUGUAGCUACCCCAAGAAAUAGUACAUGAAAAACACAUUUUGUUGGCUUAGACACAUAGUAAUUACCUUUUGGGAACAAAGAGGUAAUUAUCUCUGUAACCCCAUGAGAUAAAUUCAAAUUUUAGUUCUGCUGCCUACUAGUGCUAUGAUCUGGACAUAUUCAUUAAAGUCUUUGAACUUUAAUUUCCCUAGUUAUUCAAUGGACAUAUGCAUACUUUCUACAUAUUUACUUGGAAAUGAAAAUGUAAAUGGGACGUUAUAGCCAUUAAAUGGCAUUAAACAUACUAGAUGCUAAGUAAAGAUAGGCAGGGAUCAUGUGAGCAAGUAAACAACACAGGCUUUGGAGUAAGACACGACUUACAUUCAAAUCUCAGCCCUUUGUAUUUGGCUGCAUGGGUAAAUGGCUUAACUCCUGUGGCUUUCCUGAGUUAGUGAAAUCUGUUGAAAAAUGGGGCUAGUAAUUUCAGUCUGAAGGGAUGCUGUGGGGAAUGCACAAGAUACCGUAAGUGAAAUUUUCUAGGGAAUAAUGAUACUCAGCAAAUGGUGCUGACCUGUAAUUCCCUUGCCGAUCACAGACUCAUAAUGUGAAUGUGUCCACCAAAGUUCAUGUAUUGGAAACUUAAUCCACAAUUGAACAGUGUCAGGAGGUAGGGACCCUGAUGAAAUGUUUAUUUAAGUCAUGAGAGCGUCACCCUCCCAGAUGCAUUAGUGCCGCUAUUAAAAGGGCUUAUGGGGAUUGGGUUCUCUCCCUUCUGCCAAGUGGGAACAUGGCUUUUUGUUUCUGUCUUGCCCUUCCACCUCCCCUACACACCUUCCAGUAUGUGAGGACACAGUAAGAAGGCACUCGUCAGAAGACAGCACCUCGAUCUUGGACUUCUCAUUCUUCAGAACUAUAAUAAAUAAAUUUCUCUUUAUAAAUUACCCAGUCUGUGGUGUUCUGUUACAGCAGCACAAGACUGACUAAGACAUAAUGAUUUUGAGAGAAUAUUCUCCCAAGUCCUCUGGAAGUCUUUUUUUUCUUUUCUUUUCUUUUUCCUUCCUGAAGGGGUGGCCUGCCCCUCCACACCUGUGGGCGUUUCUCGUUAGGUAGAACCAGAGACUUGAGAAAAGAAAUGAGACACAGAGACAAAGUAUAGAGAAAGAAAAAGUGGGCCCAGGGGACCGGCGCUCAGCACACAGAGGACCCAUGCAGGCACCGGUCUCUGAGUUCCCUAGUAUUUAUUGAUAAUUAUCUUUACCAUCUUAAAGAUAAGGGAGUGGCAGGAUAAUAGGAUCAUUGUAGGGAGAAAAUCAGCAGUAAGACAUGUGAACAAAGAUCUCUGUGACAUGAAUAAGUUUAAAGGAAAAUGCUGUGCCUUGAUAUGCAUAUGCAAACCUCUCCAUAAACAUUUUAGCAGCAUUGCGCCAGCAUGUCCCACCUUUUGCCGUAAGGCGGUUUUCUCCUAUCUCAGUAAACAGAGCAUACAAUCAGGUUUUACACCGAGAUGUUCCAUUGCACAGGGACGGGCAGGAGACAGAUGCUUUUCUCUAUCUCAACUGCCAACAACCGCCAAAAGGCCUUCUUUCCUCUUGUACUAGUCCCUUCAGCACAGACCCUUCAUGGGUGUCAGGCUGGGGAACGAUCAGGUCUUUCCCUUCCCACAAGGCCAUAUUUCAGACUAUCACAUGGGGAGAAACCUUGGACAAUACCUAGCUUUCCUAGGCAGAGGUCCCUGUGACCUUUGGCAGUGUACUUGUCCCUGGGUACUUGAGAUUAAGAGACUGGUGAUGACUUUUAACCAGCAAGCUGCUUCAGGCACUUGUUUAACAAAGGCACAUCCUGCACAGCCCCAAAUCCAUUAAACCUUGAGUCACCACAGCGUAUGUCUCUUGCAAGGACAAGGUUGGGGAUAGGGUCACAGAUUAACAGCAUCUCAAAUACAGAACAAAAUGGAGUCUCUUAUGUCUACUUCUUUCUAUACAGACACAGUAACAGUCUGAUCUUUCUUUCUUUUCCCCACACCUACCUACCUACC
rnacentral:lncRNA from 1 species